rnacentral:rRNA from 1 species
CAGCCGCCGCGGUAAAACGUAGGGUGCGAGCGUUGUCCGGAAUUACUGGGCGUAAAGAGCUCGUAGGCGGUUUGUCGCGUCGUCUGUGAAAUUCUGCAGCUUAACUGUAGGCGUGCAGGCGAUACGGGCAGACUUGAGUACUACAGGGGAGACUGGAAUUCCUGGUGUAGCGGUGAAAUGCGCAGAUAUCAGGAGGAACACCGGUGGCGAAGGCGGGUCUCUGGGUAGUAACUGACGCUGAGGAGCGAAAGCGUGGGUAGCGAACAGGAUUAGAUACCCCAGUAGUCCCUGUCUCUUAUAC